rnacentral:rRNA from 1 species
UAGGGAAUCUUCCACAAUGGACGCAAGUCUGAUGGAGCAACGCCGCGUGAGUGAAGAAGGUCUUCGGAUCGUAAAGCUCUGUUGUUGGUGAAGAAGGAUAGAGGCAGUAACUGGUCUUUAUUUGACGGUAAUCAACCAGAAAGUCACGGCUAACUACGUGCCAGCAGCCGCGGUAAUACGUAGGUGGCAAGCGUUGUCCGGAUUUAUUGGGCGUAAAGCGAGCGCAGGCGGAAUGAUAAGUCUGAUGUGAAAGCCCACGGCUCAACCGUGGAACUGCGUCGGAAACUGUCAUUCUUGAGUGCAGAAGAGGAGAGUGGAACUCCAUGUGUAGCGGUGGAAUGCGUAGAUAUAUGGAAGAACACCAGUGGCGAAGGCGGCUCUCUGGUCUGCAACUGACGCUGAGGCUCGAAAGCAUGGGUAGCGAACAGGAUUAGAUACCCUGGUAGUCCAUGCCGUAAACGAUGAGCGCUAGGUGUUGGGGACUUUCCGGUUCUCAGUGCCGCAGCAAACGCAUUAAGCGCUCCGCCUGGGGAGUACGACCGCAAGGUUGAAAC